rnacentral:ncRNA from 1 species
AGUCUUCAGGGCGGGGUGUGAGUCCCCACCGGCGGUAAUCACAGACCGAUGCGUUGCUGUCGCAGCCGUUUUACGGUUGAGCAGACAGGAUGCGCAGUAUAGGUCAGUGCGAGCCCGCGAGCCGAAAGGCAGGAUUCCGGUGAGAUUCCGGAGCCGACGGUAUAGUCCGGAUGGAAGAAGAUG